GAUGAACGCUGGCGGCGUGCCUAAUACAUGCAAGUAGAACGCUGAAGGAGGAGCUUGCUCUCCCGGAUGAGUUGCGAACGGGUGAGUAACGCGUAGGUAACCUGUCCCUUAGCGGGGGAUAACUAUUGGAAACGAUAGCUCUUACCGCAUAACAUCAGUUAUCGCACGAUAACCGUUUAUAAGGGGCAAUUGUUCCACUACUAAAUGGAUCCUCGUUGUAUUAUCCAGUUGGUGAGGUAACGGCUGACCAAGGCGACGAUACAUAACCGACCGCCGAGGGGGGUCGGCCAACCUGGGACUGGGACACGGCCCAGACUCCUGCGGGAGGCAGCCGUACGGGAUCCUCACCAAAGGACGGAAGGCUGACCGGGCAACGCCGCGUGAAUGAAGGAGGUUUUCGGGUCGUGAAACUCUGUUGUGAGUGAAGGACGAAAGGGGGAGUUAAAAGUGCACAUAGUGACGGUACCUUACCAGAAAGCCACGGCUAACUACGUG
rnacentral:rRNA from 1 species